AAGAAAGUUGUAGUUGUAAAUCACACACAAGAAGAAAACACUCGAGAACAGCUGAACAGGAUGUGCCAUCUAGUCAGGAAUUUAUACAGUUUAAAAGACAUUCAUCUUAGAGCCUUGGGUGCCUGAACAUAUUUCUCCUUACUUGAGCUAGACAGACAAUCCUCAUACCGUAGGGAGCUUUAUUAAUUUCUUAAUAUUUCCUCAAAAAAAUGCUUCAACAAUAUGGUGGAUUCAAUAUCCUUCUAGAAGCUCCAGUCACAUGACUUUCAGUCAGUAAGGAGAUCAAGUAACAAAAGCUGCCCACUUCACCCAAAGAACCAAGACCUGCUCUCACAAAGAGAGCUAUUCUUUUCCCUCAAGAGGAUGGAGGACUGGAUGCCGAGCCAUCAAUCGAGAGGUAUCAUGGAAUCGAUUGUUGUGUGGACACAGUGCACCACCACUAGUCGUGUUUGGAAGUACUAAUGUCAAGACACAAAAGUCCUCCUUAACCACUGCACUUCACCAAACAACAAUUGUCAUUCUGAGAGUUGUGCUAUUUUUUUUUUAAUCAGGCUAUAUUUUAAUGUUUUUUUAACGUUUUCAUCACACUGUUUUGAAAUGAAAAUAGUUGAGCUUGGAAACAUUUUGACAUUAACUUUACCUGAACAUUUAUAAAAACAAAAAUAUGUCCUUAACAAUUACACUAUAAAGUAUUUGUCAAAAAUAGGUGCACAGUGCAGGGGUUAAGGAGAGAAAUACCCACUUCUUGAGCAAUUGACUGGAAUGUAGUGGAAUUACUGUAGUUAAGAUCAUGUUUGCUGGCCAGAAAUUUAAAAAAUGUCACCAUAACUAAGUUACUCUUUUUACAAUUUGUUGCAUAAAGUGAGUGUUAGUAAGUUGGCUAGAUUACCUUGUACUCUGGAUAUUAUUAUUUUUAUUGAUGCAUUCAAUAAUCUUAGCAAAGUAUCUAGCAGGUUUAUGUAUUUCCUUACCUGCUCCCUAAUAUAUAUAUCAAGGCAGACUAUGAAACAUUUCAAGCCAUUAUUUAUUAUUACUAAUACAAAAGGUUUGUAGAUAUUACUCAUCAGUAAUAUUACUGGCAUAUUGGCAGAGCUAUAAUCUUGUUCCGUUUUCCAUAUCAAACUAUUGCUACGCAUUUUGGAGAGCAUAUGGAAUAAUUUACGUCUGAGAGUCGGGUGUUUAACCUGUUUGAUGGUUCUUUGUGUGUAGCAUAUACUCUGCGCUCCGUUGUAACAUUCUAUUGUACUGAACAGUACUAUUUGGUUAAUUGUCCAACUAUGUUAUAAUAUAGAUUAAAAACAAAUUAAUAUUUUAA